AUGUUCUCGCUUCAGCAACACAUAUACUGAAAUUGGAAUGAUACAGAGAAGAAUUGCAUGGCUCCUGCACAAGGAGAAAAAAAUGAUGACUUGGGGACCCAGAAUACCCU